GAGGGUAUAGCUCAGUGGUAGAGCGUGUGCUUAGGAUGCACGAGGUCCUGGAUUCCACCCCCAGUCCCUCCA
rnacentral:tRNA from 1 species